UACGAAGGGGGCUAGCGUUGCUCGGAAUCACUGGGCGUAAAGGGUGCGUAGGCGGGUCUUAAGUCAGGGGUGAAAUCCUGGAGCUCAACUCCAGAACUGCCUUUGAUACUGAGGAUCUUGAGUUCGGGAGAGGUGAGUGGAACUGCGGAGUGUAGAGGUGAAAUUCGUAGAUAUUCGCAAGAACACCAGUGGCGAAGGCGGCUCACUGGCCCGGGUACUGA
rnacentral:rRNA from 1 species